rnacentral:rRNA from 1 species
GUAGGGUCCAAGCGUUAAUCGGGAAUUACUGGGCGUAAAGCGUGCGCAGGCGGUUGUGCAAGACCGAUGUGAAAUCCCCGGGGCUUAACCUGGGAAUUGCAUUGGUGACUGCACGGCUAGAGUGUGUCAGAGGGGGGUAGAAUUCCACGUGUAGCAGUGAAAUGCGUAGAGAUGUGGAGGAAUACCGAUGGCGAAGGCAGCCCCCUGGGAUAACACUGACGCUCAUGCACGAAAGCGUGGGGAGCAAACAGGAUUAGAUACCCUGGUAGUCCACGCCCUAAACGAUGUCAACUAGUUGUUGGGGAUUCAUUUCCUUAGUAACGUAGCUAACGCGUGAAGUUGACCGCCUGGGGAGUACGGUCGCAAGAUUA